rnacentral:rRNA from 1 species
AACGAACGCUGGCGGCAUGCCUAACACAUGCAAGUCGAACGAGACCUUCGGGUCUAGUGGCGCACGGGUGCGUAACGCGUGGGAACCUGCCCUUAGGUUCGGAAUAACUCCCCGAAAGGGGUGCUAAUACCGGAUAAUGUCUUCGGACCAAAGAUUUAUCGCCUUUGGGUGGGCCCGCGUUGGAUUAGCUAGUUGGUAGGGAAAAAGCCUACCAAGGCGACGAUCCAUAGCUGGUCUGAGAGGAUGAUCAGCCACACUGGGACUGAGACACGGCCCAGACUCCUACGGGAGGCAGCAGUGGGGAAUAUUGGACAAUGGGCGAAAGCCUGAUCCAGCAAUGCCGCGUGAGUGAUGAAGGCCUUAGGGUUGUAAAGCUCUUUUAACCGGGAUGAUAAUGACAGUACCGGGAGAAUAAGCUCCGGCUAACUCCGUG